rnacentral:rRNA from 1 species
AAUUCUGGUUGAUCCUGCCAGANNGAGUUCGAUUAAGCCAUGCGAGUCGAGAGGUGCAAGACCUCGGCAUACUGCUCAGUAACACGUGGACAAUCUGACCUAUGGAAGGGGAUAACCCCGGGAAACUGGGGAUAAUACCCUAUAGACUAUGGAGGCUGGAAUGCACUGUAGUCGAAAGGUCCGCCGCCAUAGGAUGGGUCUGCGGCCGAUUAGGUUGUUGUUGGGGUAACGGCCCAACAAGCCUGUAAUCGGUACGGGUUGUGGGAGCAAGAGCCCGGAGAUGGAUUCUGAGACA